AACGAACGCUGGCGGCAGGCCUAACACAUGCAAGUCGAGCGGACCCUUCGGGUUUAGCGGCGGACGGGUGAGUAACGCGUGGGAAUAUGCCCUUCUCUACGGAAUAGUCCUGGGAAACUGGGGGUAAUACCGUAUACGCCCUUUGGGGGAAAGAUUUAUCGGGGAAGGAUUAGCCCGCGUUGGAUUAGGUAGUUGGUGGGGUAAUGGCCUACCAAGCCGACGAUCCAUAGCUGGUUUGAGAGGAUGAUCAGCCACACUGGGACUGAGACACGGCCCAGACUCCUACGGGAAGCAGCAGUGGGGAAUCUUAGACAAUGGGGGCAACCCUGAUCUAGCCAUGCCGCGUGAGUGAUGAAGGCCUUAGGGUUGUAAAGCUCUUUCAGCUGGGAAGAUAAUGACGGUACCAGCAGAAGAAGCCCCGGCUAACUCCGUG
rnacentral:rRNA from 1 species